UGAGCGACUGAUCAGCGGCAGGCACGACACUAGGGGCGGCCGCCGCCGCCUGCUCCACAUGCGAUGCCAGGUGCGCCGCCGUGGCCACCUGUAACAACAACUAAUCCUCCCUGCCUCCUCAGCUAACCUUCACCACGUGUCUCCACUUCUCCCCCAACAACUCCUGCCCAACAUAACGAUGGUGAUGACGACGCGGUGGUUCAAAGCCGGCCUUCUUGGCAUGAGGCGCUCCUGGUGGGCAGCCUCCGACUAACAUCUCUCUCGUGAUUGACCUACCUAGAGAGCUUGUCAGAGGAAGAGAUAGUGGGCUUAAGAGAGAAAUUCUUAAAUACCUUGGCACAAUUACAAAAUUAGAAAUAAGACAAGUGAUGUAGUUGGUAUAUUAGUCUCUUGUCUUUGAUGCUUAACACUUUUCUCCUUUGUCAUGUCUCUGCGCACUUACCUUAUUUGCAGUUUAUGCUAUAACCAGCAGUUUGCUUUUCUAUUGCAGAGGUACAUAAGAGGCGGUGAACUGAAAAAACUAUGAAGAAUUAUAAUAUGUGCAAUAAUUGAGAUAACAAUGAAUGGAAAUGAUUGUCCAAGUGGAUGCAUAUCAUAUGAGUAACUCCAGGAAAUGACUAAAUAGCUCUACUGUCUUAUGCUUAGCAUAAAUAAACUAUAAUGCAUUAUCGCUGUAAGGAAGAUGUAUUGACAUGAUGUUGCAUGUUAUGAACGGACAUCUUCCUCUGCCCCAUUUAUUCUUUCUUAUUUACUAAAUAUUCCACUUCAUAUUGGGUACUAAUUGCAUAAGAAAUCUUAUUUUGCAUACUACAUCCAGUAAUUAAGUGUUUCUAGGUAACUUAUAUUUGGAAUUCUUUUAUUACAGGUCCACAUUUGGGACAGAAAACAUGAUAUAAGGUCACAUGAAAGAUGAAACUUGUUUACUGCCUUUUCAUCCGCAGGUGGAUAAUAUGCCUUCCAAUGAAGGAUCCAAUGAUUAGUUAUGAGUCCCUCAUUGCAAACAAAUAUCUAGAAUGACAGUGAAUGUUAGAUCGAGAUAAAAUUCAGUACAAUUAGUUGACAGACACAGACAAGGGCUUCACUCCUAUGAAGAUCUUUGUGGUGAUGAAGUGGAUUUGUAUUUCUGGUUAUAUGCUUCUAGAGAAGGUUGUGUAUGUGAACAAGGAGAAAACUUUUGAAUCAUCUACUUGACAGGUCGCAAAGUUAUCACAGAUGCAAUGUAUUGAUGUUAUAAGUCCGAAGUCAAGCAGAGUGGUGCUAAGGACCUAAGGUACCAACUGAAUGUACGAGCAAAAACAUAAUUCAUAUGCAAGUACAGGAUGCUGGAUUCUUUAAUUGUAUGAGUACCAAAUUAAAGCAAAUGGAUUACAUAGGAGAAAACACCAUGUCUGUUUCAUUAAACACUAUCCCACAUUGUGUGUAAUGCAGAAACAAUGAAUGAUGAUCUCCAGGCAGAUAAAUUCAGAUUGUUUAUCCCUCUCCAGUCAUGCAAUAUGGUGUUUCUUUUACUUAUUGUAUCCGUCGGUUUAUUUAUGAAAUUGUAAUGCACAUAUUGUGGAAUAGAUACUGAACUCCGCUUUCGUAGAGAU